AUUGAACGCUGGCGGCAUGCUUUACACAUGCAAGUCGAACGGCAGCGCGGGCUUCGGCCUGGCGGCGAGUGGCGAACGGGUGAGUAAUACAUCGGAACGUGCCCAGUAGUGGGGGAUAGCUCGGCGAAAGCCGGAUUAAUACCGCAUACGACCUGAGGGUGAAAGCGGGGGAUCUUCGGACCUCGCGCUAUUGGAGCGGCCGAUGGCAGAUUAGCUAGUUGGUUGGGUAAAGGCCUACCAAGGCGACGAUCUGUAGCUGGUCUGAGAGGACGACCAGCCACACUGGAACUGAGACACGGCCCAGACUCCUACGGGAGGCAGCAGUGGGGAAUUUUGGACAAUGGGCGAAAGCCUGAUCCAGCAAUGCCGCGUGUGUGAUGAAGGCCUUCGGGUUGUAAAGCACUUUUGGCGGGAACGAAAAGGACUGUGCCAAUACCACGGUUCGAUGACGGUACCCGCAGAAUAAGCACCGGCUAACUACGUG
rnacentral:rRNA from 1 species